UACGUAGGGUGCAAGCGUUGUCCGGAUUUAUUGGGUUUAAAGGGUGCGUAGGCGGUUCGUUAAGUCCGGGGUGAAAGCCCACUGCUCAACAGUGGAACUGCCCUGGAUACUGGCGAGCUUGAGUCCAGACGAGGUUGGCGGAAUGGAAGCUGUAGCGGUGAAAUGCAUAGAUAGCUUCCAGAACCCCGAUUGCGUAGGCAGCUGACUAGGCUGGUACUGACACUGAGGCACGAAAGCGUGGGGAGCGAACAGG
rnacentral:rRNA from 1 species